CCCUUAUAGUUUGAUCCUGGCUCAGGACGAACGCUGGCGGCACGCCUAACACAUGCAAGUCGAACGCCCCUUUCGGGGGGAGUGGCGGACGGGUGAGUAACGCGUGGGACCCUGCCCCGGGGGGGGGGACAACCCAAGGAAACCUGGGCUGAUACCGCAUAACCCCAGUGGCCGUAGAGGCCAUUGGGAAAAUAUUUAUCGCCACGGGAUGGGCCCGCGUCGGAUUAGGUAGUUGGGGGGGUAACCGCCCACCCAGCCUGCGAUCCGUAGCUGGUCUGAGAGGACCAUCCCCCACGCUGGGACUGAGACCCCGCCCACACUCCUACGGGAGGCAGCGGUGGGGAAUCUUGGACGAUGGGGGAAACCCUGAUCCAGCGAUGCCGCGUGAACAAAGAAGGCCUUAGGGUUGUAAAUCUCUCUCCCCCGCAAAAAUAAUGACGGUAGCGAAAAAAAAAACCCCCGGCUAACUCCGUGCCAGCAGCCGCGGUAAUACGGAGGGGGCUAGCGUUGUCCGGAAUUACUGGGCGUAAAGCGCGCGUAGGUGCUCCACCAAGUCGGGGGUGAAAGCCCAGGGCUCAACCCUGGAAUUGCCUCCGAGACUGAUGGACUCGAGUUCGGGAGAGGAGAGCGGAAUUCCCAGUGUAGAGGUGAAAUUCGUA
rnacentral:rRNA from 1 species